rnacentral:lncRNA from 1 species
AGGGAGCAAGUGCCCCUGUGCACCUGUGGACAUCAGCCCCUGUGCACCUGUGGACAUCAGCCCCUGUGCACCUGUGGACAUCAGCCCCUGUGCACCUGUGCACAUCAGCCCCUGUGCACCUGUGGACAUCAGCCCUGUGCACCUGUGGAUAUCAGCCCCUGUGCACCUGUGGACAUCAGCCCCUAUGCACCUGUGGACAUCAGCCCCUGUGCACCUGUGGAUAUCAGCUCCUGUGCACCUGUGGAUAUCAGCUCCUGUGCACCUGUGGACAUCAGCCCUGUGCAUCUGUGGACAUCAGCCCCUGUGUACCUGUGGACAUCAGCCCCUGUGCACCUGUGGACAUCAGCCCCUGUGCACCUGUGCACAUCAGCCCCUGUGCACCUGUGGAUAUCAGCCCCUGUGCACCUGUGGACAUCAGCCCCUAUGCACCUGUGCACAUCAGCCCCUGUGCACCUGUGGAUAUCAGCCCCUGUGCACCUGUAGACAUCAGCCCUGUGCACCUGUGGAUAUCAGCCCCUGUGCACUUGUGGACAUCAGCCCUGUGCACCUAUGGACAUCAGCCUCUGUGUACCUUAGACAUCAUCAGCCCCAGUGAACUUGUGGACAUCAGCCCCUGUGCACCUGUGGACAUCAGCCCCUGUGCACCUGUGGACAUCAGCCCCUGUGCACCUGUGCACAUCAGCCCCUGUGCACCUGUGGACAUCAGCCCUGUGCACCUGUGGAUAUCAGCCCCUGUGCACCUGUGGACAUCAGCCCCUAUGCACCUGUGCACAUCAGCCCCUGUGCACCUGUGGAUAUCAGCCCCUGUGCACCUGUAGACAUCAGCCCUGUGCACCUGUGGAUAUCAGGCCCUGUGCACUUGUGGAUAUCAGCCCUGUGCACCUAUGGACAUCAGCCCCUGUGUAGCUGUGGACAUCAGCCCCUGUGUACCUUAGACAUCAUCAGCCCCAGUGAACUUGUGGACAUCAGCCCCUGUGUACCUGUGGACAUCAGCCCCUGUGUAGCUGUGGACAUCAGCCCUGUGCACCUGUGGACAUCAGCCCCUGUGCACCUGUGGACAUCAGCCCCUGUGCACCUGUGCACAUCAGCCCCUGUGCACCUGUGGACAUC